ACUCAAAUGAAUUGACGGGGACUUGCACAAGCGGUGGAUCAUGUGGUUCAAUUCGACGACAAACGAAAAACCUUACCAGGGUUAGAAAUCCAAGCGAAGACUAGUAGAAACAUUAGUCGUCUCACAAGGACGGUUGGACAGGUGCUGCAUGGUUGUCGUCAGUUCGUGGUUUGAAUUGUUCCCUUAAGUGGGGUAACGAACGCAACCCUCGUUGCCUGUUAUAAGUGUCAGGCGAGACUGCCCAGCUUUUUGCGCAGAAACAUCGAAAGAUGUUUGUGAAUAAAAAGCUGGGAGGAAGGUGAGGAUGACGCCAAAUCAGCAUGGCCCUCUGAUACCCUGGGCUACACACGUGAUACAAUCGCCGCUACAACACGUUGCGACGGGGAAACCCCGAGCCAAUCGUUAGAAAAGCGGCGCCAGUUCGGAUUGGAGUCUGCAACCCGACUCCAUGAAGCCGGAAUCGCUAGUAAUCGCGGAUCAGCACGCCGCGGUGAAUACGUUCUCAAGUCUUGUACACACCGCCCGU
rnacentral:rRNA from 1 species